CAGGAUUUUGGGCCUCCUUUCCCAGGAUUUUGGGCCUCUCUUCCUGGGAUUUUGAGCCUCUUUUCUUGGGAUUUUGGGCCUCAUUCCCCAGGAUUUUGGGCCUCAUUCCCUGGGAUUUUGGGCCUCUUUUCUCCCAGGAUUUUGGGCCUCUUUUCCCAGGAUUUUGAGCCUCUCUUCCUGGGAUUUUGAGCUCCUUUUAGUGGGAUUUUGAGCCUCUUUUCCCAGGAUUUGGGGCCCCUUUUAGUGGGAUUUUGGACCUCUUUUCCCAGGAUUUGGGGCCCCUUUUAGUGGGAUUUUGGGCCUCUUUUCCCAGGAUUUUAGGUCUUUUUUUCUUAGGAUUUUGGGCCUCUUUUCCUGUGAUUUUUAGGGCUCUUUUCCUGGGAUUUUGGGCCUCUUUCCUUGGGAUUUGGGGCCUUUUUUUGCCCAGGAUUUUGAUCCUCUUUUCCCAGGAUUUUGGGCCUCUUUUCCCAGGAUUUUGGGCCUCAUUCCCCAGGAUUUUGGGCCUCUUUUCUCCCAGGAUUUUUGACCUUUUUUGCCCAGGAUUUUGUGUCCCUUUUCCCGAGAUUUUUGACCUCUUUUCUUGGGAUUUGGGGCCUCUCUUCCUGGGAUUUUGGGCCUCCUUUCCCAGGAUUUUGGGCCUUUUUUUGCCCAGGAUUUUGGGCCUCUUUUCCCAGGAUUUUGGGCCCCUUUUCCUGGGAUUUUGGGCCCCUCUUCCCUGGGAUUUUUGGCCUCUUUUCCCGGGAUUUUGGGCCUCUUUUCUUGGGAUUUUGUGCCCCUUUUCCUGGGAUUUUUGGCCUCUUUUCCCAGGAUUUUGGGCCUCUUUUCCCAGGAUUUUUGGCCUCUCUUCCCUGCCUUUUGAGGAGGGAAUUCCCGGGGCUUUGGAUUCCCAAAUCCCUUCUCCAGAGGCCCGGGUGGGAAAGGAGGUGGAACUUUUCCCGGGAUCGGAGGCUCCAUCCCGGUGCUUCUCCUGUUAUCCUGGAAUGCUGGAUCCCUGAAAUCCCACUGGAUCCCAAAAUCCCACUGGAUCCCCAAAAUC
rnacentral:lncRNA from 1 species